rnacentral:rRNA from 1 species
AUUGAACGCUGGCGGCAUGCUUUACACAUGCAAGUCGAACGGCAGCGCGGGCUUCGGCCUGGCGGCGAGUGGCGAACGGGUGAGUAAUACAUCGGAACGUGCCCAGUAGUGGGGGAUAGCUCGGCGAAAGCCGGAUUAAUACCGCAUACGACCUGAGGGUGAAAGCGGGGGAUCUUCGGACCUCGCGCUAUUGGAGCGGCGGAUGGCAGAUUAGCUAGUUGGUGGGGUAAAGGCCUACCAAGGCGACGAUCUGUAGCUGGUCUGAGAGGACGACCAGCCACACUGGGACUGAGACACGGCCCAGACUCCUACGGGAGGCAGCAGUGGGGAAUUUUGGACAAUGGGCGAAAGCCUGAUCCAGCAAUGCCGCGUGUGUGAUGAAGGCCUUCGGGUUGUAAAGCACUUUUGGCGGGAACGAAAAGGACUGUGCCAAUACCACGGUUCGAUGACGGUACCCGCAGAAUAAGCACCGGCUAACUACGUG